rnacentral:rRNA from 1 species
UUAGGAAUAUUGCACAAUGGGCGAAAGCCUGAUGCAGCGACGCCGCGUGGAGGACGAAGGCCUUCGGGUUGUAAACUCCUUUUGACGGGGAAAAAUAAAUGAUGGUACUCGUCGAAUAAGCACCGGCUAACCCUGUGCCAGCAGCCGCGGUAAUACAGGGGGUGCAAGCGUUAUUCGGAAUUAUUGGGCGUAAAGCGCGCGUAGGUGGCUCUUCAAGUCAGGCGUGAAAGCCCCAGGCUCAACCUGGGAAAUGCGUUUGAUACUGUCGAGCUAGAGUGUGGAAGGGGCGAUUGGAAUUCCGUGUGUAGCGGUGAAAUGCGUAGAUAUACGGAGGAACACCAGAGGCGAAGGCGGAUCGCUGGGCCAACACUGACGCUGAGACGCGAAAGCUAGGGUAGCAAACGGGAUUAGAUACCCUUGUAGUCCCUGAGCGGGCUGGCAAGGCGCAU